UACGUAGGUGGCAAGCGUUGUCCGGAAUUACUGGGCGUAAAGCGCACGUAGGUGGUUUGGUAAGUCGGAUGUGAAAUCCCCGGGCUCAACCUGGGAAUGGCAUUCGAGACUGUCAAGCUAGAGACUGGUAGAGGGUGGUGGAAUUCCAGGUGUAGCGGUGAAAUGCGUAGAUAUCUGGAGGAACAUCAGUGGCGAAGGCGGCCACCUGGACUAAGACUGACACUGAGGUGCGAAAGCGUGUGUAGCAAACAGGAUUAGAUACCCUGGUAGUCCACGCCGUAGACGAUGAGAACUAAAUGUUGGGAGGGUUAAACCUUCUAGUGUCGCAGCUAACGCGAUAAGUUCUCCGCCUGGGGAGUACGGCCGCAAGGUUAAA
rnacentral:rRNA from 1 species